rnacentral:rRNA from 1 species
UACGUAGGUGGCAAGCGUUGUCCGGAUUUACUGGGCGUAAAGAGCGCGCAGGCGGUCGUUCAAGUCGCGUGUGAAAGCCCCCGGCUCAACUGGGGAGGGUCACGCGAUACUGAUCGACUCGAAGGCAGGAGAGGGAGGUGGAAUUCCCGGUGUAGUGGUGAAAUGCGUAGAUAUCAGGAAGAACACCAAUGGCGAAAGCAGCUCUCUGGGACGGUACUGACGCUGAGACGCGAAAGCGUGGGGAGCGAACAGG